rnacentral:rRNA from 1 species
UACAGAGGGUGCUAGCGUUGUUCGGAAUCAUUGGGCGUAAAGGGCGUGUAGGCGGUUUGUUAAGUCAUGUGUGAAAUCCCUCGGCUCAACCGGGGAACGACGCAUGAAACUGGCAAGCUAGAGUACCAAAGAGGGGGGUGGAAUUCCCGGUGUAGCGGUGAAAUGCGCAGAUAUCAGGAAGAACACCCGUGGCGAAGGCGGCUUUCUGGGACGGUACUGACGCUGAGACGCGAAAGCGUGGGGAGCGAACAGG